rnacentral:misc_RNA from 1 species
AUCCCGGUGCAAUGAGACUAG